GGAGAGAGUUGUGCCUACUUAGUUCUCUCCUAAAAGGACUGCAGCCUGGAUUUGUCUCUCCAUUGCCCACUUCCAUGUUUCCUCCCCCAGUUAUUUUGGAGGCCCCGGGGACCGAGUGGGUGACCCAGCUGAGACCGGAGUUCUGGCAGGGCCAGGGUGGGUGUUAUUCUCCAAAUAAUUCACCACUUGAGCACUUGCUCCAGACACUGGGUUCCCCAGGGACCUCUUGCUCUGUGACACGCGUGACAGCAUGGCCUCUUUGUCUUCCCAGGGCAUCAUCGAGCAGAAAGGGACAGGCAGAGGAGGGGACAAGAGAGAAGCUGGAAGCCCCAGAAGAGGAGAGAUGAGGACGCAUCACCAGUCUGAGACUGAGGCCUGAAGCUCUGUGGAGAGUUGCUGGUUGAGUCCACACUGAGAGGCUGAAGGAGCUGGAGUGUGACAUCCACGCACAAUGACAGUAAUCUACCUCCUAGAAAGCUCUUGGAAGGAACAGGAGACAUGUAACUAGAAUUCUGAAAUCUCAGUUAAAGGAACAGAGAGACUGUGUGCUUCCGGAACAAUGGUGGUUGCCAUGGUAAUGCUGUUUCUGGGUGGAUAAAGCUGGCUGGCGGGUGCUCAUCAAUGCCCACUUGGAGGAAUGUAUUUACUGGCACAGGCAGAGAGGUCUGCACAGGUUGCAGUCCCCACCACAAACAUAGCCACUACAUCGAGAGAGGACACAUCCCAGUGAGAACAUGCUGCUCUGAGCCUUCAACCCAGCUGUGUUCAUCCAGAGGCAGUGACUCCUAAGCAAGAAGCUCUUACACCAGCGUUGUCUGGGACCAAGAUGCACCCCGAAGAAGUGAGUCAGAGCCUCUGUGUGUCUCACACAGUUUAUUCACAACCGGUAGCGGGGGAGGAGGAAGAAAGCAAGCAAGGAGAAACCCAAGGACACUUGAGUGUUAAAAUCAUCCCACUCAAUCCUUUCUUACCCUCUUAUUCAUUUUCUUCCUAUUAAAUGUAAAGAUAAUGAAGAAAAUUCUUUCCAGAAACAGAAGCUACAGUAUAUGAUACGUCAGUUUGGCAACUGGCCCUAUAGAUUUUGUGAAAGUCAUU
rnacentral:lncRNA from 1 species